rnacentral:misc_RNA from 1 species
GUUGUGCCACUUGGCACAAAUAUAACUACAUAAGUGUACUAUUCAUCAACUCUUAACACACUUUAGAGAUGGUACAUGACAACUUCUUACUGAUAGAUUUUAAAGAUCAGUUUUUAUACGGAGAUAGAUGUAUCCAUGGCUGGUUCUGAUUUUAUCAGAAACUUGACUUCCAGAAACUCCUCUGCAAAUGACUUGAUGCCACACAAGCUCAAUUCACCAUGAUGUAUAUGAUUCUUCUCAUCCCCAUUUUCUUUGUAAUAAGCUACAACUGUUGGAGAAUCUUCAGUGAGGCCAAAUUCAUGAAAAAGACACCUGUGGAUGGGGAAUUCAUCUCCAGUUUCCACAUGUAUAAAGAGAAGCGGCUAAUUAUUAGAUACAUAAGGAACACUUUUUAGUGCUAUCUGUUUUACAGAAAAAGUGGGCCUGAUUGUAAGAGAGGGUGCAUGUGCACCGGAUGCAGCUAAUAAUUUCUUAAGAGAAGCUAGAUAAAACCGCACCAUAUCAUGUUGUACUUUCCUUUUAACAUAGUAAAACAAGAAAAUGUACUUGAAAAUCUUGAGCCAUAUCAUUGGCAAAAAAAGGAACUGCUUCAAGAUUUUAUGGUUUCAGAUAGAUCAGUUAACAGAAGUCUAUUGUUAAUAACUCUGCAAAGGCUAACGAUGAAAAUCUUAAGAAUCAUAUGCACAUUCACCUUCUCUGUAUGAAGACUUUUAGUCCUGCAAAAUCAGCCCUUUUAAUACGCAGAUUCAACUCUCUAAUUGUGCUUUAGUGUUUACUUGUAAGCUUAAUCAAUCCCAUGAUUUAAGGAAUUUUAACGGUUAAUGGUUAGUCCUGCAGACACUUUGGGUUCUUUAUUGUUCAUAGCCAAGGGUGUAUUAAUAAAUGCUUAUGUCUGUCUAUUAGAAGUAGGGAUUUUCAUAAUCACCUUUCCUCUGAAAGCAUUUGCCGCCUCUUUGAAUAUGGAUACAACUUUCCAUGAUCUUUUAGGAGUGAAAAGCCACAACUGUUUCAUUGGAUUCUCAACAAUGUCUAUACCAUCCUCUUCUGUGAAAGUUAUCACUGGAGGAAGCUUAUAUACAGAUACAAAGUUAGCUAUUGCCAAUCUGGUGAAUUGACCUUCAUAACGAAAGUGGCUAUAAUUUCCACACUCUCUUUUCAGCAUGAUCAGAGCAGGGCGUUUGAUUUGAGGGUCAAUGUGGAAAAGCUUAGCUACAUCAGCAUUGCUAGUUUGAUAGAACUUGACAUCUAUAUGCUGUUUUGAGACAGCGGCAAGCUCCUCACUAUGUGGACCCUGUAAAGUGUCUAGGAAUCCCAAAACCAUCGUAGAUUCAGCAGCUAAUAUACGGAUUGCCUCAUCAACUAUAGUCACGUUUUGGACAAUAUUGCUAACCUUCUGAUUAACCCAAUUUGAAAUAGCAUCCCUGGUUCGUUCUCCAUAGUAGGAAUAACCAGCGUUGUGAACUCCACCAACUGAGAGAUACAGAGUUGGAUACCCAUCAAUCUUGAACUUCCUCGCCAACUCUGUUUCUUGAGUAGCAUCUAUUUUUGCAAGAACAGCCUUACCCUUCAACAUGGUAGCAGCCGCAGCAUAUUCCGGUUCCAGCUUCUGACUCCAAUAGCACCAAGGCGCAUAGAAAUCCAUCAUUACAUACUUAUUUCUAUGUCUAUCAACAAAGUCGCUAAAGUUGUUCUUGGUCAACACCACCACAUCCUUUUCAUCAACUGCGGA